GGACAUAUUCAAGAUGAUAUUCCUUGGUGUAUGCUUUUCGCAGACGAUAUAGUGUUGAUAGAUGAAACUUAGGAAGGGGUAAAUGCAAAGCUUAACCUUUGGAGAAAAGUGUUGGAAUCUAAAGGUCUUCGCCUAAGCCGAUCAAAAACAGAAUAUAUGGAGUGCAAAUUCAGUGCAAAUGGAGGCCAAAACGAGUUAGGGGUGAGGAUCGGAGAUCAAGAAAUACCAAAGAGCGACCGUUUUCGUUACCUAGGAUCUAUCUUGCAAAAGAACGGAGAAUUAAAUGGAGAUCUCAACCAUAGAAUACAAGCUGGAUGGAUGAAGUGGAAGAGUGCAUCCGGCGUGUUGUGACCGCCGUAUGCCACUGAAGUUCAAGGGAAAAUUUUAUAGGACGGCAAUAAGGCCGGCGAUGCUGUAUGGCACAGAAUGUUGGGCGGUGAAGCAUCAACACGUACACAAAAUGGGUGUAGCGGAGAUGAGGAUGCUUCGUUGGAUGUGUGGGCACACGAGAAAGGAUAAGAUUAGGAAUGAGGAUAUCCGGGGUAAAGUAGGAGUAGCCGAAAUUGAAGGAAAGAUGAGAGAAAAUCGGUUACGGUGGUUUGGACAUGUGCAAAGAAGGCCUACUGACGCUCCGAUUAGAAGAUGAGACUAUGGGACAGAGGUUCAGGGCCGAAGGGGUAGAGGAAGACCUAGGAAAACUUUGAGAUAGACCCUAAGAAAAGACUUAGAGUACUUGGAUCUAACGGAGGACAUGACAUAGGACAGAACACAAUGGCGUUCUAAGAUUCAUAUAGCCGAUCCCACUCAGUGACUUGGAUUUUCCAAGUCUCCAACCGAGAAGUUGUCAUCGCUCGGGAAAUUAAGGGAACACUACCUCAACCUACAUGCUCCACUCACAAAGCUUCAACAUACAAGCUUUAACAAAAGAAAAUUCAAAGAACUUAGCGAAUAAGGCUUUGGUGAUUUAACACAAUACGUUGAAAUGAAGGAAAGCUUAUUUAUUGAUAUCCCCGAUAAGUUACAAAUAUGUACAUAUACUUGAGUCAAAAUAAACAAACAAGAGGGAGCCUUCACAAAGGUUGCUUAGGAGAAGUCUCAGCAGUCGGUAGAGCCCCAGAAAGAGAAGGCACCGGAGGGGGAUCAUUCGGAGCCUCAGUACUGGACAGAACCCUAGAAGGAGGAGGCAUCAGAGGUUGAUCAUUUGGAGCUUCAUUACGCGGUAUAGCCCCAGAAGACGAAGGCAAUAAAUGCCUUUGGAACAAACCCACAAAUCUCUGAUGAUCAAGUAAAACCUGACCAUCAGAUUCCUUCAUCUGGUCAAGCUUCCUCUUCAUGUUUGUAGCAUAGUCAUGUGCGAGCCGGUGCAACUGUUUAUUCUCAUGCUUGAGCCCUCUAAUCUCCUGUUUGAGACUCAUCACUUCAGCCGCCAAUGAUUCAACUUGGCGGGUUCGAGCAAAUAGGCGUUGGGCCAUAUUAGACACAGAACCUGCACACUGAACACUAAGAGCCAGAGAAUCCUUAACAGCCAACUCAUCAGACCGUUUGGAAAGUAGUCUGUUAUCUUUGGGAGUGAGAAGGUUCCUGGCCACUACCGCAGCGGUCAUAUCAUUCUUCAUCACGGAAUCCCCAACGGUAAGAGGACCAGUAGGGGAGACGAAGGAUGGGCGCCAUAUGUUGUCUGGAGAAGGCGGGGCUGCCUCUUCAACAAGGUUCAAGUCAAAACGACGGUCGGAGGGGCCAGACAUUUUCAAAGGUGUUGAAGAGAGAAGAGGUCGGACAAAUCAAGAUCUUAGAAGUGCAAGAAUGGAGCUUCUACUGGUGGAUAUUCAAGUGUGCUUUGGAACUUAAUGUCAGCCCCUAUAAAAAUCUGCACUCGACGAAGCUUCAGAAAUCGAAGAGGCGCCUGCUCAGAAAUCGAAGAGGCGUUUGCUUUCUCAAAAGCUGGGCUGCUCAGAGACCACGAGGGUCGAUCUCAGAAAUCGAAGAGGCGUUUGAUUUCUCAAAAGCUGGGCUGCUCAAAGACCACGAAGGCCGAUCUCAGAAAUCGAAGAGGUUUUCUUUCUCAAAAGCUGGGCUGCUUAGAGACCACGAGGGCCGAUCUCAGAAAUCGAAGAGGUUUGCUUUCUCAAAACCUGGGCUGCUCAGAGACCACGAGGGCCGAUCUCAGAAAUCGAAGAGGCACAUACUUUUCCAGCCUUGUCAGCACCUGUCACACGCACACUCAACUUUGCGAAAAUUAUGGGCAUGCUGUCGAAGAUUUCUGGCGAAGUAGAAAGCACAUGAAUCGUACUGUUCAAUCACCCACUUCCCACACGCAACAGUAGCUCAUGGGUACCAUAUAUAACUUUGCCAAAGUUCUCUGACAAAGUUGAGACUACUUUUCCAGCCUUGUCAGCACCUGUCACACGCACACUCAGCUUUGCGGAAAUUAUGGGCAUUCUGUCGAAGAUUUCUGGCGAAGUAGAAAGCACAUGAAUCGUACUGUUCAAUCACCCACUUCCCACACGCAACAGUAGCUCAUGGGUACCACAUAUAACUUUGCCAAAGUUCUCUGACAAAGUUGAGACACGUGAAGCUUGCAAGCUCUCACUACAUCGCUCUGACCAAGAAGGGUAAAAGAAUAGCAAAGAAACAACACUAACAAAGUUUAGACACAUAAAUUUUGAAGGCCUAGCUACCAUAUUAUUACCCACAAGGGUAAAGGAACAGUACCACUGCUGGAUAAUUGGAAAGUCCCGGUGUGUCAACCUCUGUGCUUCGUGGCAAGGUAGACUAGCAAACAUGCCCAACCUUUACUCACAUUCGAGAAAACACUCCCAACAAGAUUGCUUGCACCAAAAUCGAAAGAGGCAUCGCCCUCCGAAUCUCGAGAGCCAGACUCCCAACAUGAUUACUUUCUCAAAAAUCGAAGAGAGGGUAAAGGAACAGUACCACUGCUGGAUAAUUGGAAAGUCCCUGUGUGUCAACCUCUGUGCUUCGUGGCAAGGUAGACUAGCAAACAUGCCCAACCUUUACUCACAUUCGAGAAAACACCCCCAACAAGAUUGCUUGCUCCAAAAUCGAAGAGGCACCGCCCUCCGAAUCUCGAGAGCCAGACUCCUAACAUGAUUACUUUCUCAAAAAUCGAAGAGAGGGUAAAGGAACAGUACCACUGCUGGAUAAUUGGAAAGUCCCUGUGUGUCAACCUCUGUGCUUCGUGGCAAGGUAGACUAGCAAACAUGCCCAACCUUUACUUACAUUCGAGAAAACACUCCCAACAAGAUUGCUUGCUCCAAAAUCGAAGAGGCACUGCCCUCCGAAUCUCGAGAGCCAGACUCCCAACAUGAUUACUUUCUCAAAAAUCGAAGAGACACCGCUCUCCGAAUCUCGAGAGCCAGACCCCCAGCAUGAUUGCUUUCUCAAAAAUCGAAGAGGCAUCGUUCUCCGAAUCUCGAGAGCCAGAUCCCCGACAGGAUUGCUUGUUCGAAAACCGAAGAGGCACCACUUUCCCAACUUCAAGAGCCGGAUCUCCUUGGAUAAAGCUUGUCUGUAAUCUUCACACGCAACAUCAGCUUUCCAGAUACCACAGACCACUUUUUCAAAGUGCUCUGACAGAGUUAAAACUUGUGAAGCUGGCAGCUCCCACUACCGUGCUAUGACCAAGCAGGGUAAAGGAAUAGCAUUAUUACUUGAUGUUAGGGAGACUCCUAUAUAUGUCGACCUCCAUCCCCAACGGACAGGCAGACCUGCAAAAAUGCUCAACCCUUCCUCUUAUCUGAGAGGGCACUCCCAACGAAGCCUUUCGAAAUAUUCAGCUUUCUUUCCCCCGAUAAUACCUCUGUAAACAAGCUAUACUAGAGCAAGAAUAUCUCAUAUCAUCAGGGUUAAAAGCAAGAGUAUCCCAUAUCAUGCUUUUUUCCCUGUCUUUUCCUUUGGCCUUGUUCUUACCUGCAAGACAAGGAGAAAGAGAGCAAUCAGUCAGCACUUGGAAUCAAGCUUCCAGCCAGGAACUGACUGCCUGGAACCCCUUACCUGAUUACUUACCUGGCAUUGCUCUCGAGUACUCAUCUUCAACAUCUUAUGCUUCCAGGAAGAUACCGCAUCUGCCUGAGGAACAGAUAGGGCAAGUGAGAAGGAUACAAGGAAGCAUGUGGAGACAAGCGUAACAGCACACGUGCCGAUACAUCCACUACUCUGUCAAAAGCAAAAGUAUCCCAUAUCAGCAGGGUCGAACGUACUCUAGAUUUGAUGGACUUGUUUUGACCCUCAAAUUCUUCAGUCGGCCUUAUACUCUGGAGGAAACCAGAAAACCCUCCAGCCCAGUUCAAGAAUAAGCCUGUGGAAAGUUACUUCUUCAAAAGCAAAAGUAUCCCAUAUCAUCUCUUCUCAUUUUUCUUCUCUUUAUCCUUCAUGCUGCCUGCAAGAUAGGGAGAAUGUGAACAAUCAGCCGGAGCUCUGAUUGCUUACCUUGUCUGUUACCUCUUUCAGCAGAUCCCCUAGCUCGGCGACUUGGGGGACUCCUACUACAUGGUUUGUAUCGCGCUUGACCAAGCCUGAAACUACAAGUAAGCUUCAAGUGACAUUGAUACAUUACCUUGUGCAUCUCCACCAGUUACAGAUACCACCCCUGGAUGGAAGAAGAGUACUUCCAGAGAAGAUGCCACAUCUACCUAUGAGACAGAUAAGGAAAGUCAAGACGAUACCACACUCCGGUACUUAGAAGUUUCGUGGUUACGAGAUCAUUCUCCCACAAUAUUUCCUAAUGUCAUUUGUACUAAAUCAUUCACUUGUACUCCCUAAAGGAGAGCUUGAACCUAUGUACUUGUGUAAACCCUUCACAAUUAAUGAGAACUCCUCUAUUCCGUGGACGUAGCCAAUCUAGGUGAACCACGUACAUUUUGUGUUUGCUUUCCUAUCUCUAUCCAUUUAUAUACUUAUCCACACUAAUGACCGGAGCAAUCUAGCGAAGAUCACAAAAAAGUGACCGUUUUCGCUACCUAGGAUCUAUCUUGCAAGAGAACGGAGAAUUAGAUGGAGAUCUCAACCAUAGAAUACAAGCUGGAUGGAUG
rnacentral:lncRNA from 1 species